rnacentral:rRNA from 2 species
UACAGAGGUCUCAAGCGUUGUUCGGAUUCAUUGGGCGUAAAGGGUGCGUAGGUGGCGUGGCAAGUCUGAUGUGAAAUCCCGGGGCUCAACCCCGGAACUGCAUUGGAUACUGCCAUGCUUGAGCACUGGAGAGGAGACUGGAAUUUACGGUGUAGCAGUGAAAUGCGUAGAUAUCGUAAGGAAGACCAGUGGCGAAGGCGAGUCUCUGGACAGUUGCUGACACUGAGGCACGAAGGCUAGGGGAGCAAACGGG